GACAGAGGCCUCGAGCGUUAGGCGGAAUCACUGGGCGUAAAGGGCGCGUAGGUGGCGGCCCAAGUCCGUGGUGAAAGCUCGCCGCUUAACGGCGAGUCGGCCACGGAGACUGGGUGGCUCGAGCACUGUAGGGGCAGAUGGAAUUCCGGGUGUAGCGGUGGAAUGCGUAGAGAUCCGGAAGAACACCGGUGGCGAAGGCGGUCUGCUGGGCAGUUGCUGACACUGAGGCGCGACAGCGUGGGGAGCAAACAGG
rnacentral:rRNA from 1 species